AAAACAUAUUCGCCGAAAACCCGAGGUUUCCUGGGUAAAGCUAAUCUUCCCAGGGUUAGUCGGAUCCUAAGGUGAGGGUGAAAGCCGUAACCGAUGGAAAACAGGUUAAUAUUCCUGUACUUGUUGUGUAGCGCGAUGGAGGGACGCAGGAAGAUAGGCGGGCCGGGUGUUGGAUAUCCCGGUGCAAGCGUGUAGGAAUAUCCGGUAGGCAAAUCCGCCGGACGAAUCUGAGACGCGAGUCCGUGGGCGCAAGCCCUGAAGCCGUUGAGUCUAUGCUGCCUAGAAAAGCUCCUAAGUUUAUCCACAGCAAUCCGUACCGCAAACCAACUCAGGUGGGUGGGAUGAACAAUCCAAGGCGCUCGAGAGAACUCUGGCCAAGGAACUCGGCAAAAUAACCCCGUAACUUCGGAAGAAGGGGUGCUCUCUAGGGUGACAUGUUUAACAUAUGAAGCCCCGGGGAGCCGCAGUGAAUUGGUGGUGGCGACUGUUUACUAAAAACAUAGGUCUGUGCGAAGUCCUAAAGACGACGUAUACGGACUGACGCCUGCCCGGUGCUGGAAGGUUAAAAGGAGGGGGCAGCGCAAGCAAAGCUCCGAAUUGAAGCCCCAGUAAACGGCGGCCGUAACUAUAACGGUCCUAAGGUAGCGAAAUUCCUUGUCGGGUAAGUUCCGACCUGCACGAAUGGCGUAACGAUCUCCACACUGUCUCGGCCAGAGACUCGGUGAAAUUGCAGUCGCGGUGAAAAUUCCGUGUACCCGCAGAAAGACGGAAAGACCCUGUGCACCUUUACUAUAGCUUGACAUUGGAUUUUGGGCCUGCAUGUGUAGGAUAGGUGGGAGGCUGUGAACCCUGUACGCCAGUAUGGGGGGAGCCAUCCUUGAAAUACCACCCUUGCAUGUUUAAGAUCCUAACUUCUUCCGGUUAUCCCGGAGAAAGACAGUGUCUGGCGGGUAGUUUGACUGGGGCGGUCGCCUCCUAAAGUGUAACGGAGGCAUGCAAAGGUUCCCUCAGCCUGAUCGGAAACCAGGCGCUGAGUGCAAACGCAUAAGGGAGCUUGACUGUAAGAGAGACAUCUCGAACAGGAACGAAAGUUGGCGUUAGUGAUCCGGUGGUCCCGAAUGGAAGGGCCAUCGCUCAUUGGAUAAAAGGUACGCCGGGGAUAACAGGCUGAUCGCAUCCAAGAGUUCACAUCGACGAUGCGGUUUGGCACCUCGAUGUCGGCUCAUCACAUCCUGGGGCUGAAGCAGGUCCCAAGGGUACGGCUGUUCGCCGUUUAAAGUGGUACGCGAGCUGGGUUUAAAACGUC
rnacentral:rRNA from 1 species